rnacentral:rRNA from 1 species
UACAGAGGUCCCAAGCGUUGUUCGGAUUCACUGGGCGUAAAGGGUGCGUAGGCGGUCGGGUAAGUCUGAUGUGAAAUCUCACAGCUUAACUGUGAAACUGCAUUGGAUACUAUCCGGCUCGAGGAAUGGAGGGGAGACUGGAAUACUUGGUGUAGCAGUGAAAUGCGUAGAUAUCAAGUGGAACACCAGUGGCGAAGGCGGCUACCUGGACCAGCACUGACACUGAAGCACGAAAGCGUGGGGAGCAAACAGG